rnacentral:rRNA from 1 species
AGUGAACGCUGGCGGUAGGCCUAACACAUGCAAGUCGAACGGCAGCACAGUAAGAGCUUGCUCUUACGGGUGGCGAGUGGCGGACGGGUGAGGAAUACAUCGGAAUCUACUUUUUCGUGGGGGGUAACGUAGGGAAACUUACGCUAAUACCGCAUACGACCUACGGGUGAAAGCAGGGGAUCUUCGGACCUUGCGCGAUUGAAUGAGCCGAUGUCGGAUUAGCUAGUUGGCGGGGUAAAGGCCCACCAAGGCGACGAUCCGUAGCUGGUCUGAGAGGAUGAUCAGCCACACUGGAACUGAGACACGGUCCAGACUCCUACGGGAGGCAGCAGUGGGGAAUAUUGGACAAUGGGCGCAAGCCUGAUCCAGCCAUACCACGUGGGUGAAGAAGGCCUUCGGGUUGUAAAGCCCUUUUGUUGGGAAAGAAAAGCAGCAGGUUAAUACCCCGCUGUUCUGACGGUACCCAAAGAAUAAGCACCGGCUAACUUCGUG